UGCAUCGGUCGGGAAUCGAACCCGGGCUGCCCGCGUGGCAGGCGAGCAUUCUACCACUGAACCACCGAUGG
rnacentral:tRNA from 1 species